CAGCCGCGAGACACCGGCGGCCCGAGUGGUGAUCGUGAUUAUUGGGUCUAAAGGGUCCGUAGCCGGUUUGGUCAGUCCUCCGGGAAAUCUGAUAGCUCAACUAUUAGGGCUUUCGGGGGAUACUGCCAGACUUGGAACCGGGAGAGGUAAGAGGUACUACAGGGGUAGGAGUGAAAUCUUGUAAUCCCUGUGGGACCACCUGUGGCGAAGGCGUCUUACCAGAACGGGUUCGACGGUGAGGGACGAAAGCUGGGGGCACGAACCGGAUUAGAUACCCGGGUAGUCCCAGCCGUAAACGAUGCUCGCUAGGUGUCAGGCAUGGCGCGACCGUGUCUGGUGCCGCAGGGAAGCCGUGAAGCGAGCUACCUGGGAAGUACGGCCGCAAGGCUGAAACUUAAAGGAAUUGGCGGGGGAGCACAACAACGGGUGGAGCCCUGCGGUUUAAUUGGACUCAACGCCGGACAACUCACCGGGGGCGACAGCAAUAUGUAGGCCAAGCUGAAGACUUUGCCUGAAUCGCUGAGAAGUGGUGCAUGG
rnacentral:rRNA from 1 species